AUGCUCGCUUCAGCAGCACAUAUACUAAAACUGGAAUGAUGCAGAGAUUAGCAUGGCCCCUGAGCAAGAAUGAAAUGCAAAUUCAUGAAGCGUUCCAUAGUUUA